rnacentral:misc_RNA from 1 species
UGCGGAGGGAUCAUUACAGAGUUCAUGCCCUCACGGGUAGAUCUCCCACCCUAUGUUAUUGUUACCUUUGUUGCUUUGGCGGGCCGUCAGGCCUCGGUCAGGCUACCGGCUUCAGCUGGUAAGCGCCCGCCCCAGGACCCCAAACUCUGAAUAUUAAUGUCGUCUGAUUACUAUAUAAUAGUUAAAACUUUCAACAACGGAUCUCUUGGUUCUGGCAUCCAUGAGGAACGCAGCGAAAUGCGAUAAGUAAUGUGAAUUGCAGAAUUCUGUGAAUCAUCGAAUCUUUGAACGCACAUUGCGCCCCUUGGUAUUCCGGGGGGCAUGCCUGUUCGAGCGUCAUUACAACCCUCAAGCCUGGCUUGGUAUUGGGCUUCGCCGUUUUGGCGGGCCUUAAAAUCAGUAACAGUGUCGUUGGGGCCCUGAGCGUAGUACAUAUCCUCGCUAUAGGGAUUUCCACGGCCAUUAACCCUCACUUUCUAAGUUUGACCUCGGAUCAGGUAGGGAUACCCGCUGAACUU